rnacentral:lncRNA from 1 species
UUUGUUGUCAUGGUAGUUAAUCAGUAUGAGACAGUAACAAAUUAAUAUGGUUCACUUGCAAAAGGAAUAGAAGCACUUCAGCAUAGGAGAUCUCAAUCCCUCUUUUAGUAUAUUCUUGCUCAUGUGUGCUGUGACCAAGCUUAUACCUCAAGUAACUAGAGGAAAAAAAUGCAGGAAAAUCUAAAAAGCACUUGGAUCCAGAGAAUCCUGAAGAAGGGCAAGGAAUUGAACGUCUUGGUGAGUGUAGGAUCUACUUGAUCUAAGCUCAAGUACUCCUAAAAGCAACUUCAAGGAAACAGUACUGAUUUCUUUACCUUUGUAUAGGUCAUAAUUCAAGCAAUAUUGGAGCUCAAGGACACAAACCAUUCCCCUCAAAAUAUGGCAGAUGCCUGAGGUUCAUCAAGCUUCUUGUAUCCCAAGUACUGCUGGUUAUCAUAUCAGUAAUGCCAGGUAUAACACCAUAUUAAUCAUCAUCCCAAGUUUCUCCACUAUUAAUUUCCAAAACAUUAGAGGUUCAAUGUACAUUCUUGUUUCUUUGUGGAUACAUGUUUAGGUUCAAGCCAGAUAAGAAAGCUAAAAGAGAAAAAAGAGAUGCAUGUAUGGUCUCUUCAGAUCCUGAACAAACUACUUGAACGUGCUUAUGAUGAGGCCCCACGUCAUUAUAGUUAUUCAGAGUACAGAUUCUUCCAGAGGGAAGGAGGUAACCUAUAUGUCAACCCUGUUCAUUACAAAUAAACUUCUUGGUAUAUAUAUAGAAAGAUGUGGAGACAAUGUAACCAACAACUUUCUCCAGUAUCUUUAACUGAUAUUAAGGAGAGGCAGAUCUGUUGCAGAGUAAUCACAACUCAAAUUCUUGAAAUUUUAACCACUGUUAUUAGAUGAUUGGUUAAUUGGGCUUUCUCUUGUAGUUGAAGAGUGUGUUUUCUUAUCUUUGUAGCUUGGGAGACACCAAUACUAGCUGCAUCGUGGAAAUGGUAGAGAAAAUCCUGCAACUGUUUUCUAUGGCCAUUUAUGACACCGAUGGCCAAAAUAUGAACAUAGUGCUGAAGGCAGUAGAGAAUAGGCGAUCACAUAUAUAUGACUUCUUACUCAACAGUAAUCUUCCUCAUAGAGAAAUUGCAUUUCACGCUGUUGAUGAACAGGGGAAUAGUGCAUUGCAUCUAGCUGGAAAGCUACCGGGUUACCGCCACUUCCAACAUAUCCCCACCAGCAUGUUGCACAUGCAGUGGGAAGUUAAGUGGUACCAGGUAUGCAAAACUCAAGCUAAGCUUUAUAUUAGCUUAUGAGAAAUGGUUCAAACCGAUGAAUAAUAACUUAAAAGUAUGCACUUGGUUCAAUGCAGUAUGUGCAGAAUUCCUUGCUACCAGAUUUUGUUGUUAAAAAUAAUCGUACAGGAAAUUCCCCAGAUAAGAUCUUCCAAGCAGAACAUCGGGAACUUGAAGACGAAAGCAAACAAUGGCUAAAUAGCACAUCCAAUUCCUGCUCUUUCAUUGCAGCGCUUAUCGCAACUGUUGCCUUUGCCUCAACAGCCUCCGUACCUGGAGGGCUGCAAUGGCUAAAUAGCACCUCCAAUUCCUGCUCUUUUAUUGCAGCACUUAUCGCAACUGUUGCCUUUGCCUCAUCAGCCGGGGUAAAGCAAGACACUGGGAGUAUUUUUGGAAUAGCACCGCUAGUUGCUCUUUUCUGUUCAGUGAUCUCCUUGCUAAUAUUCUGCGCCAUUUUCAUCUCCAAGGACGAAGACAAAGAUUUUACUACAAACUUGCCGAGGAAAUUUUUAUUUGGUUUAACAUCUCUCUUUAUAUCCAUAGCAGCCAUGUUGACCUGUUUCUGCUCGGGAAACUUCUUGAUGCUUAAGGGUCAAUUAAAAUUUGCUGCAAUUCUGUUAUACGCACUCACCGGUGUGGUAAUGGCGUACUUUGUUCUCAAGCACUUUCCAUUAUUUAUUGGCCUUCUGAAGGCUACAUUUCGUAAGGUGCCUGAGCGUAUAUACAAGGAGUAUUUGUGGAUUCCAUUCGUCUUGUAACGACCCAUUUUAAAGUAUGUUCCCCGAUUUUAUUUUGGUUAUUUUAAGUAUAUAAGAAUAAUGAACUUUUUGUGUUCUACUCCUAUCACGAACCUAAUGGGGAUUUCUUUUUUGAAAUCUGAAAAAGGAAAAGUUUUUCUUUUUAAAAAUUUUAAAAAAGAAAAUGAUAAUGGGAAAGAAAUGGACCGGACUUUCUUCUACUAGAGAAAAGAGAAUAGGACGAUUCUUUAUAAUCCUUCAAAAAAAAUCUUAAAAUAUAAAGUUAAAUAUACCUCCGUAUUUUUUAUUUUAAAGUGAAACAUAUUCUUACUAUGUCUUUUCUCUAUUUUAUCUUUUCUCCAUCUUUUCUUUUUCUUUUAUUAUUAUUAUUAUUAUCAAAUAAGAAAAAUAUUAAUACUAAUACAUAUAAAUAAUAUAAUGAUUAGUCAUAAAUUAUUUUUGAUAAUUAAAAAAUAAUUUUAUUACAUAUUUUUUAUUAUAAAAUAUUACAACAAUUUUUUAUAUUUUUAUUAAAUAGACUUCAAAAUUUUUGAAUAGUUUAACUUUAUAAUAUAACAAUAAUAAAUUAUUAUAAUAAAAAAUAUAUUUUUAUAAUUGCUCAAAAAUGAAAUAAAGGGAUCUUGUAAUAUAUUAUACUUUUACUAUAUUUAUAUUGUAAGUUCAAUGUAUAAGUAUUGUAACUACAAUUAACGUCUUUUUCUUUUUGUCUUAUUCUUCUUCUUAUUAUUAUUGUUAUUACUGUCAAUAAUCUAUCAAAUAAAAAUAAUAUUAAUAAUGAUACAUAUAAAUAAUAUAAUAAUUAAUUAUAAAUUAUUAUUUCAUUAGUUAUUAUUUUAAAAAUAUUAUAAAUAACUCACCCAAAAUAAUAAUAAUAAUUUUAAGAGAAUGGAAACAAAAAGAUCAAUAAAACCAGAGCAGCAAGUAGAAGCAGAAAAACUUAGAAAAAGAUUCUUCAUUCACCUACAAAAGUGCAACUUAAUGGAGCAUUGAAUUGGAAACGUGGCGUAUCUACCUCCCUCUACUCUCUCUCCUACAACUAAGAACCUUAAGUAAACAAAUCCAUGUCAUUAUUUUUAUCAUAAUAAUAAUAAUAAUAUGGAUUUGUUUAUAAGAGUGAUGGAGACAAUGCCUUCUUUUUAUUUUCUCUUUGACUUUGAGUCAUUCGAAGGGGAAAAAAAUGUCAUUUUCCCAUAAUUAGUGUUUGUUCAAUAAUUUUUUUUUCCUUUUUAUUUUUAAAUAUAGAACAAUAGAAAAAAUAUUUAUUGUCAAUUUAGAUACGCUUACUAUUUUUUUGUUUUAAAAAUAAAAUAUUUUGUACAAAAAAUAUGAUUUACUUUAUGCUUUCAAAAAUCUCUUUAAUUUUUUUUAAAAAAAUUUGAGAUAAUAAGAACAAUGCCUCAAGUUUUUUUUUUUUUUUUUUUUUUAACUAAAAAAAAUCAUUAUUUAAAAAAAAAAUCAUUAUUAUUAUUUUUUAAUAUGAACCUCUAUCUUGUAUAAAAGUUAUUACUAUUUUAUGGUUUUAUAAACAAAAAAUAAGAUUUAUACCUAAUAGGACUGCUUAUAAUUUAAUUUUCUUACUUAACUUUUCUAUAAAUAAUCUAAUAAUGAGGGAAAUUUCUAGGUUGUGCUUUCAUCCUACUUUUCCCUCUUUAUUUUCUUUCUAACAAACUUUAGACACUCAAAUAUAGCCUAGGAGAGUACCUUAAAAACAAAAUGAAUAAAAGUGCCAUCACAUGAUUAAUCACACAACCAGCAGCCUCAAAUGCAAAGCCAGCCUUUGUUCCUGUCUUUUCCUCCUUUAGUUGUUACUAGUUAUGAUCAUAAGUAGAAAUACUCUAACAUCCCUAGCUUCAAUUUAGGGAUAUUUGUGUAUUUUAAAUUUUUUAAAAUACAUACAUUGAAUAUAGAGAUAUUUAUGUAUUUUAAAAAUUAAAAUAAAAAAGAGAGAAAGAAAAUAAGUGAGAUAUCUUUUGUCCCUUUAACCGCCCACUAUUUUUAUGUUGUUAUGGUUUCUUGAUAUUAUCAAAAAUUAAAAAGACAAAAUAGAGAGAGAUAUAGAACUUUGAUUGGAAGGGUAAAAAGAAAAAAUGAAAAUUUUAGUAUUUGCUUUAUUUUAUAAUUUAAAGAUAUGCAUUAAUAUUUUUUUUAAGAAUUUGAGUAACUUCUUCAAGGUAAGGGUUAAUAAUGCAAUGAGUUAAUAUUUAUACCUCUUUAUUUGUUUUUAUCUAUUUAUUAAAAUAUCAAAAUAUUUAAAUUUCAUAAAGUGGAUCAAGUAAUAUUUUUCUAAAAUAUACUAUAAUUAAUUUGUUCUUUUGUUUAUAAAAUAAAUCAAGAAUAUCAUAUGAUUUGUUUGAUUAUUAUGCCAGUUAUUUUAACUUCUUCGAGGUAAAGGUUAAUAGAGUAGUGAGUUAGUUUAUAUCACUUUAUUUGUUUUUAACUAUUUAUUAAAAUAUCAAAAUAUUUAAAUUCAUAAAGUGGAUCAAGUAAUAUUUUUUUCAAAUUUGCUUUGAUUUGUUCCUUUUUUUAUAAAAUAAAUUAUGAAUACAAUAUGAUUUGUUUGAUUAUUAUGCAAUUGAAUUUUACCUUUCCAAUUAAUUAAAAGUAAUUUUGGAAAUUCAGGUUAUCAAUAGCCCUAGUCAAUAGAGAUAAAUUGUUGACCUUUAUUGUCCUUGGUGGGAUAGUGAUGUAAUGUAGCCUUAGACAGUAAGGGUAUUAUUAUUCCCCUUUGGUAUACCAUUGGUCGGAAACCGUUCCGUCCUCUAGUAAGAGGAACAAUUUGAGACUAACCACCUAAUACAAGUUCCACUAUUUGGACCUAGUGUUAUUGUAAGUAUAUUAAAGUAAAAUGUUUAAAUGUGAAAUUCUUUUGAAUAUGAAUUGAUUAUGUUAAGUAUAUUAUAUUGUUUUAUCUUUAAAAUUAAAAGUGUUGAAAUUUUUGAAGAAAUUAUAUUUAAUUAUUGAAUUAAAUGAGUUUACCUAUUUUAAUAAAAAAAAAUGAUAUCUCCUAGGAUUUAAUUUUGUACUAUACUUUGUCCUUCUUAUUGGCCUAUUUUUUCUUAUUGAGCUAUCGAACCCUUUCUCUAUUAUUCCCCUUUUAAAGUACAGAUAAACUAUGGGGCUACUUUAGCGUUGCAAGUGAGUGUUGUUGUUCAAUUAUGUCUUCCUGUUGACUUGUAACUUCAAUUUGUCAUGAGUUGGAAUACAUUGGAACUAGUUGAUGAGGACACAACUAACAAAUGGAAUGCAAAUUCUAUUCAAGUUCUAGUUGGUUCGGUUACAAGGGCUUGAGUUAUAAAGUUCAAGGAAACUCUCAAUGGACUAACUCAAAAUAUUUGGGUUAAGGUGAAUUCGUGGAGGCCUAAGGAAGAUGUUCCACGUUUUCCACAUGGAUGGAUUUCCAUGAUUCAAGCUUUUGAAUAAUCUAGAAGAAUUCCUCAAAGAGAACAACUCACAAAUUGUGUGGAUUGAGUGGAGUUUUCUAAAUUGGUGAUUACCCAAAUUUGACUUAUCAAGGAGAAUGGCUGACUCAAUUUAAAGCCAUCCUUUUAAGAUGACUAAAUUACCUUUCUUAUUUAUUAUUAUAUUUUAUUGUUGAGUUGUAUGGUUUGCAUGCCAAUUUAGAUACUUUCCUAUUAGCCUUUUAAUUUUUGGAAUUGUAUGGGAAAGGAAGGAAUUCAAAAUUCCCUUGUUACUUUUUUAUUUCGGCGUAGGCAUGAUUUUAGGAAAUAUUGGAUUCACUUUUCAGAAUUCAACUUAGGAUAUUUUAGUCUCCCUUUUCUAGCUAUUUAUGAAUACUAGGCCCCAUAUUUGGGGAUUUUCUAGUUGCCAAAUUCGUGGACCUCUUUGUAUUUAAAUAACCAUUAGCUUAUUGAAAAAAAAAACAUUCAGAUUUCGUUCAUAAGUUUGGAGAGAAAAUUCUCUUUGGUUCUUUUAGAACUCUUUGAACUUAUCGGAAAAUUUUUCAUGGUGUUCUCAUUUGACUUAUCAAUCAAUCCUUCCAUAAUUGAUUGUGGCGUCUUCAUUAUACCAAUGUUCUUACUUCCAUAUUAGCAAUGGGUCAUAGUUUUAUAUAAAUUUGUUUCUAGACGAUCUUGAAGUCAUUCUUGAUCCACAAGUUUCUCUGUUUCUUGAUGUGGAUCGUAUCAGUUGGUAUCAGAGGUACAAGUCCCAAACACUAGUUAUAGGUUUGACUAUUUUUAUUUUUUUUUGAAAAAAAAAACGAAAUUGAAAAAAAAAAAGUGAUAUUGUGAUUCAAUUCCUGUAAUUCUUGUUUCAAUUUUAAAUCUUUGUGUUCCUUUCGAUUCCACACAACCAAAUUUAUUGCUCCAAAACAAACCCUUAAAUCCAUUACCCAACCUUGCUUUUCUAAGCCCUUAACUAUGAAUUUCUCUUGAUGAGUUCUUGGUGAAUUGUUGCUGAAAAUUGUAAUAUUUGUUUGAUAAGAACCUAUAGAGGAUUAUUAUAAGUGGAAAAAAGCAAGAGUAGUAAGCAUAUAAGAGAGUAAAAGUCAAUAUGAUUUUGUGUGAAAACACAAGUGAAAGUUGAGUGAAUCAUUCUUUGAGUGAAACAUGUGAGGGAGUGUGCGGUUUUUUUUUUUUUUUUUUUGUAACUUUGUUUUGCAGCAAACAUGUCAGACAAUAAGGACAAAAAUACUUUUAGGAAUGCAUUGGAAGAGGUUGAUUUGAAGUUUCUUAUAGAAGCUUUAAUAGGUAAGAUGAGGAGAGUGUUGAGAGCGGAGAUGGAGUAGGUUCAUGAACAGAUAGAUCGGGUAGAGAAUGCACAUGUGUAGUAGCUGCAAAAUGCUCCUAAUGUGCGUAGGAGAGAGAGAAAGAGAGAGUUCAACCUAGGGAAGUGAGAGUUGAAGAUGAAGAGUAUUGUGAGGACGAUUUUGAUAAAGAAUAUGACUGGAUUCAAUUGUUGGCAAUAGGAGAUAUGAUGGGCAGUUUAGAGAGGCUAGGAAUCGAGAAGAUAAUAACUUAGGUAGUAUUAAGAUGAAGAUUUUGUCUUUUCAAGGCAAAAACUAUCUCGAAACUUACCUUGAGUGGGAGAAGAAGAUAGAAUUAGCAUUUGAUUGUCACAAUUAUUCUGAGCUUAAAAAGGGUAAAACUUGCAGCCAUUGAAUUUUCUAAUUAUGCGAUUAUUUGGUAGGAUCAACUAGUAUUAAGCAGGAGGAGAAAUAGAGAGUGUCCAAUAGAAACAUGGGAGGAGAUGAAAACUAUGAAGAGAAGAUGGUUUGUUCCAAGCCAUUACUACCAUGAGUUGUACCAAAAAUUGCAAAGUCUUACACAAGGUAAUCGAAGUGUGGAGUAUUAUUACAAGGAGAUGGAAAUCACUAUGAUCCAAGUGAAUGUGGAAUAGGACCGAGAGGCUACUAUGGCUAGGUUCUUGGUUGGUUUGAACCAAANAAAUUGUUAAUUCNNNNNNNNNNNNNNNNNNNNNNNNNNNNNNNNNNNNNNNNNNNNNNNNNNNNNNNNNNNNNNNNNNNNNNNNNNNNNNNNNNNNNNNNNNNNNNNNNNNNAUAAUGAUUUAGAAAUUAGGGCUGUCAACAAUUAAACAUCCCCAACCUUACUAGUUGCAAUAGCUCAAUGAUAGUGGUGAGGUGAAGUUACUAAACAAGUGUUAGUAUCAUUCCGCAUCGGAAAAUAUGAAGAUGAAGUUUUGUGUGAUGUAGUUCCAAUGCAAGCUAGAUGUUUGUUACUAGGCUAACCAUGUCAAUUUGAUCGACAUGUUAAGCACGAUGGUUUUACCAACAAAAACUUGUUUGUGCUUAAUCAAAGGACAAUCACUCUAGUCCCUUUGUCACCAAAGCAAAUCUAUGAAGAUCAAGUGAUGUUACAAAAAAAGAGUGAUCUAAAGAAAAAGAAAGAAAAAGAAAACAAGUGAAAAUCAAAAAGAAAAAAAAAGGCUGAGAAAAAUAAGAGAGAAAAAAAGAAAAUAGAUUCGACCAUUGAGAGAAAAUCAAAGAGAAAAACAAAUUUCUAUGCAAAAGCGAGUGAAAUAAAAAGAGUGAUGUUUUUAAAUCAGCCAAUUAUUGUACUUUUGUAAAAAAAAGGCAUACUUAAACAUUAACAAACUUGAUGCGUCUUUCCCUAGUUCAGUUGUUUCUCUUUUAUAGGAGUUUGAUGAUAUAUUUCUUAAGGAGGUUCCACAUGGUUUAGCUUAUGUUUGAGGAAUUGAACAUCAAAUUGAUUUCAUGCUCGAUGCUUCCAUUCCAAACCGACCAAGCUAUUAAAGUAAUCCCAAGGAAACAAAGGAGUUACAAAGACAGGUUAGUAAAUUGAUGGAAAAGGGGUACAUAAGGGAAAGUAUGAGUUUGUACAUCGUGCCGGUGAUUUUGGUUCCUAAGAAGGAUGAGACGUGGAGAAUUUGUGUUGAUUGUCGAGCAGUUAACAAUAUAAUGGUAAAGUAUCGUCAUCCUAUUCCUCGUUUAAAUGAUAUGUUAGAUGAAUUACAUGGUGCUUGGGUAUUUUCUAAUAUUGAUCUAAAGAGUUGGUAUCAUCAAAUAAGAAUGAAAGAGGGCGAUGAAUGGGAAAUUGCUUUUAAAAUGAAAUAUGGUUUAUAUGAGUGGUUAGUUAUGCCAUUUGGAUUAACUAAUGCAUCGAGUACUUUCAUGCAACUAAUGAACCAUGUCUUGCGUGCUUUCAUAGGCAAAUUUGUUGUUGUUUAUUUUGAUGAUAUUCUCAUUUAUAGCAAAAACUUGGAUGAUCAUGUUGUGCACUUAAAUUCAAUUCUGAAUGCACUUCGAAAAGAGAAGUUAUUUGCUAACUUGAAAAAGAGCACCUUUUGCAUCGAUAAACUUGUGUUUCUUGGUUUUGUUGUGAGUACACAAGGAAUACAAGUUGAUGAAGAGAAAAUAUGCACGAUUCAAGAAUGGCCAAGUCCCAUGAGUGUAAGUCAUGUUCAUAGUUUUCAUGGACUCACUAUUUUUUAUAGGAGGUUCAUGAAAGACUUUAAUAGCAUCACCGCACCACUUACCUGAGUCUUCAAGAAGAACGUUGGAUUCAAAUGGGGAGACGAACAAGAGAAAACGUUUCAAUUGAUCAAGGAAAAAUUAACUCAUGUUCCUUUACUUGCUUUGACUUAUUUUACUAAAACGUUUGAAAUUGAAUGUGAUGCUUCAAGUAUGGGUAUAAACGUAGUUCUUAUGUAAGGAGGAAGACCAAUUGCAUAUUUCAUCGAGAAGUUAAGCGGGGCAGUAUUAAACUACCCUACUUAUGAUAAAGAAUUGUAUGAAUUGGUUCGAGUAUUGGAAACAUGGCAACACUACCUUUGGCUUAAGAAGUUUGUGAUUCACACCGAUCAUGAGUCCUUGAAGCAUUUAAAACACCAACACAAAUUGAACAAGAGAUAUGCACAAUGGGUAGAAUUCAUUGGGACAUUUCCAUAUGUCAUCCAAUACAAGCAAGGUAAGGAAAACAUCGUUGUUGAUGCACUUUCUCGAAGGUACAUAUUAAUUUCUACUAUUGAUGCAAAAUUACUUAGUUUUGAGCACAUUAAAUAAUUGUAUCCUUUAGACCACGAUUUUUGUGAGGAGUUUUGAACUUAUGAGAAAAACAUAGUUGGUAAGUUCUUUAGGCACGAGGGUUUCUUAUUUCGGGAAAAUAAAUUGAGUGUGCCGAAUUGCUCUUUGUGUGAUUUGUUAGUAAGGGAACCUCAUGGUGGAGGGUUAAUAGGGCACUUUGGAUUUGCUAAGACUUUAGCCCUUUUGCAAGAACACUUCUAUUGGCCACACAUGAAAAAAGGUGUUGAGAGAAUUUGUGGUAGAUGUGUCACAUGUAGGCAAACAAAAUCUCGAGUGCAACCCCAUGGUUUAUACACGCCACUACCUAUUCCUAGUGAGCCUUGGAUUGAUAUUUCAAUGGACUUUGUGUUAGGUUUGCCUAGGUCUAAACAUGGUAGGGAUUCAAUUUUUUAUUUUUUUGUUGUGGAUAGAUUUUCUAAGAUGACACAUUUCAUUUCAUAUCACAAAAUCGAUGAUGCUUCAUAUGUUGUUGAUGUAUGCCUAGAACAAUAGUUUCAGCUAGAGAUGUUAAGUUCUUGAGUUACUUUUGGAAAACUUUGUGGUGUAAGUUAGGAACUACGUUGUUAUUUUCUACUACUUGUCACCCACAAAAUGAUAGUCAAACCGAAGUAAUGAAUAGGAUUUUGUCUAAUUUGUUGAGGGUUAUUAUUAAAAAGAACAUAAAAACUUGGGAAAAGUGUUUACCACACGUUGAGUUUGCUUAUAAAAUAAAUUAGGAAUAUCAUAUCAUUGUUUGAUUAUUAUGCAAGUAAUUUUAACUUUCAAAAGUAAAAGUUAAUAGUGUAGUGAGUUAGUUUACAUCUUUUUUUUUUUUCAUUUGUUUAUUAAAAUAUCAAAAUAUUUAAAUUCCAUAAAGUGAAUCAAGUAAUAUUUUCCUGAAUAUAUAAUGAUUUAUUCUUUCAAUUAUAAAAUAAAUUGUGAAUAUUAUAUGAUUUGUUUAAUUAUUAUGCAAGUGAAUUUUACCUUUUCAAUUAAUUAAAGCGAUUUUGGAAACUUGGGUUAUCGAUAGUUGUAGUCAAUAGGGAUAAAUUAUUGACCUUCAUUAUCCUUGGUAAGUUAGUGAUGCAGUGUAUCUCUAAUUGGAAACGAUACUAUCCACCAAUAAAUGGAAUAAUUUCAGACUAAUCGCCUAACGCAAGUUCCACUUACCACAAGUUCCACUAUUUGGGUAUAGUGUUAUUGUAAGUGGACUAGAAAAAAAUGUUUGUUUGUGAAAUUAUUUUGAAUAUAAACGGAUUAUCAUAUAUUAUGUUAUUUUAUCUUUAAAAUUAACAGUGUUGAAUUUUUCAAAGAAAUUAAAUUUAUUUAUUGAAUUAAAUGAUUUCACCUAUCAAUUAAUUUUAAAUAAAAAAAUGACAUCUCAUAGAAUUUAGUUUUAUACUAUAUUUCAUUAUUUUUAUUGAAUUAUUUUUUCUUAUUGAGCUGUCAAACUUAGCCUUCUCCAAGUGACAUCUGUUAUCUGAAAUUGGGAUAGGAAGGGUGUUUCUAUUAAAAAUUGUUUUAAAUUUGAUUAUUUAGAAUUCUUUACUUAACUCCAUUUCAAUUGUGAUUUCUAGAAUAUCAAAGAGUUUGAGAAUUUUAUUUAUUUAUUUAUUUUAAUUUUGGAUUGGUUAGUUAACGUCAUUCAUAUGUUGUGCUUUGGGAGUUAAUAUGUGAAAUGAUGAGAUGCCAUUGGCCUUAAGGUUCCGGGUGUUAAAAUACUACCUUAAAUAGAGGAAAUGGUGGAAGCUAAUGAAGCCGAAGGGAUUGACUCUUGAGGAUUUGGAGUUUCCGGCCACCGCUGGUGGGGGUGCUGAGCGCAAGUGUAGAUGAAAGACGGGGCUGCUUUAGCUUUGGAGGUGAGUGUUGUUAUUCAAUUAUGUCUUCAUGUUGCCUCGUAACUUCAAUUUGUCAUGAGUUGGAAUAUAGUGGAACUAGUUUCUGAUCAUAUAUAGAGCGUUGGAUCCUGCAGGUUUAGUGUGAGUGGUAGUAGCUCUUAUACUUCUAACAGAAGGGGCAAUGGCUUCUACAAGUGAUGCGGAUGCAUCUGAUCUGGAGAGCAUUAGGAGAAAGUUGAUCUAGAGAUUGGCCAGCAAUUGGGAAGAAGUUGUAAAGAUAUACGAGCAAGAUCCAAGAGCUCACAAGAUCAAGAUCGGCCCAUCAAAGAACACAGCAUUGCAUAUAGCAGUUUCAAGUGGGCGAGAAGACGUAGAAAAACUAGUGAAAUUGAUUGCUAAGAAUAGUAACCCCGUGGAUGUUCUAUCUAUAGAGAAUAGAGAUCGGAACAAUCCUCUCCAUCUGGCGGCCUCACUGGGAAGCAUUUCCAUUUUCAGAUGCAUCACUGGUGAGUAUAAAGAACUGUUGGGUUGCCGCAACCGAGUGAGUGAUACGCCCCUUUUAAGGGCAGUUCGCUAUGGCAGAAAAGAUGUUUUCCUCUCGUUGUAUGAUAUGUGCGACACCACCUCAGCCCAUGACUACUGUCAUGACAUGGAGGGUAAAAAGGUUCUCCAUCUUGCCAUUGAAGGAGGACACAUGGGUAAGAGUUCUUCAGUUUACAUGUUCUAUUUCUUAAUUAUAAUAUAAAUCAUAGGCAUGAAAGUAGUCAGUUGUAAUGAACCUCUGUUAGGUGCGUACGCCUCUUUGGUUGGGCGCCUUCACAGAAGACAUUAAAUUUGAUUAAUUCAUGGUUUUGGUGGACAGAUUUGGCGUUUCAAAUUAUUGGUAAGCAGGAAGAUCUCAUGGAUUCUGUUGACUGGCAUCAAAUCUCCCCUCUGCAUGUCCUAGCUGAGAAGCCUACUUGCAAUCAUAAAAACUUGGGACUGAAUUAAAUCAGCGCGCACAUCAUUUGUUAUCUUGUAUCUGAUAUCUCCAUCAAGGCCAUAAAUUUCCGAUAGUUUCCCUUGUUAAUCAAAUUGGAAGGUAUUUUUAUUUUAGAGCUCGUCCCAGGGACUUCCAAAGCAGAGAAGAACAUCUUUCAAGAGCUACAAAAGAUGAUUAAAUUACCAGGUGGGCCUGAAUCAUUUAGAAGAAUUUUUUUCUUUUUGUGGCCACUGAUCACUUUCUUGAUGCUGCAACCAUAAUUCAUUGUCAAGGUAGUUAAUUAAUAUGAGACCGUAACAAAUAUGGUCAUAAUUCAGCACAGGAGAAGUCAAUUGAUCCCUCUUUCGGUAUAUCCUUGCUCAUGUGUGCUGUGACCAAGCUAUACCCCAAGUAACUAGUGGGAAAAAAUGCAGGAAAAUCUAAAAAGCACUUGGAUCCAGAGAAUCCUGAAGAAGGGCA